AUUGAACGCUGGCGGCAUGCCUUACACAUGCAAGUCGAACGGUAACAGGUCUUCGGAUGCUGACGAGUGGCGAACGGGUGAGUAAUACAUCGGAACGUGCCUAGUAGUGGGGGAUAACUACUCGAAAGAGUGGCUAAUACCGCAUGAGAUCUACGGAUGAAAGCGGGGGAUCGCAAGACCUUGUGCUACUAGAGCGGCCGAUGGCAGAUUAGGUAGUUGGUGGGAUAAAAGCUUACCAAGCCGACGAUCUGUAGCUGGUCUGAGAGGACGAUCAGCCACACUGGGACUGAGACACGGCCCAGACUCCUACGGGAGGCAGCAGUGGGGAAUCUUGGACAAUGGGCGAAAGCCUGAUCCAGCAAUGCCGCGUGCAGGAUGAAGGCCUUCGGGUUGUAAACUGCUUUUGUACGGAACGAAAAGCCCCGGGUUAAUACCCUGGGGUCAUGACGGUACCGUAAGAAUAAGCACCGGCUAACUACGUGCCAGCAGCCGCUGUAA
rnacentral:rRNA from 1 species